AUGUUAUUUGGCUCAACUCGUUAGUCAUCGAGUUCGGCUCAAUUCGAGCGGAGUCACGAGCUACUUGUUUAGCUUCGACUUUUGAUUUUCGGCUUCUCACGGCCGAGAUAUCCGAGCGAAAUCUCUCACCUCGUUCUAACCUUCUGUUUUUAGUGCAACCAUGUUUGCCUAAUCCCACCAAUUCCUCUCGUCUGUUUCUCUCCUUGAAUUAAUCCUCAGUCAUGUUCAUCUCUCUUUAAAUUCCAACCCACCUUAUCGCGAUGCUCGCCGUCCACCUACGUCACAUGAGUUCUCGCCAACAACGCAACUCAGAUUUAGUCCAUUGCAUCCCGUGGUUGCAAUCGAGCUCGCCACCAUACCGCCCAGAUUUGAUCCCCUCCAAUCCUCCUCGACACGGCUAUGGUGCCAACGAUUGUGCCUCCUUGACGUUCUCCAGUGACUCACCUCCAAUACCACACGCCACGCUUUACCAGUGCUAUCGCAACGCCAUCACCGAUAUUGCCUCCGGAGAGGACGAGAGAGGAGAGCUGGCCAUUCACUCCACCACCACCACGGGUCCAUCCCUGGCCGCUCUGUUCCCACCGUGAUCCAGCAACGGUCGUUGCCGAUGCACCACCCCCGGCUCCUCUCUCAUCUCUUCUUCCCCGACGCCCCAUUCUCUUGCUCGAGCUCCUCGCCGACUUUACCGAUCGUUGGCCUCUGAUCUAGGGUUCGCUGCUGCCGGUCGCCACUCACCUGCGUCUCCGGAGGAAACGGCUCCCUGUACCUUAUCCUUCUUCAAAUUCUACCCUCUACAGAUGAGGAACGCCUCGAUGGCUGUCUCUUCCGUUUCUCCUUUCUCUCCCUCCUUGCAAUACACCGGCCAUGAUUCUGGGAUGGAGAAGGGAGUGGGGUAGAGCCACCAUAUCAAGAGGUAGAGUGAAGGAGCCACGCUUGAGAACUUGGCGUGAGUUACUUUGGUCCAGCGGCUACGAAUGUUCCUUUUUUACUUCAGAAUUAUAAAAUAAUGUUGCCAAACAAUCUUUCAAGGUAUUUACUGUUGUCGUUUCUCUCUGUAGCUGGAAAUUGCUCUUUUGGGAUCUGUUCUAUGCCUACCUAUUAUCAAGCCAGUAGAAUGGGGUGGGUUAGAUGUGAUUAUUUGCAGGGGAUUGAAAUUGAAGGCAUCAGUUGGACAAUAAAUAUGCAUCACUUCAUAUCAUUGUGAUUUUGCACCUCACCAUCUUUUUGAAAUAAAGUUUAAUUUAAUCAAGUUCAACUCUAUCAUCCACAACUGUCAACAUGUUCCAUAUUUAGUUGUCUGCUUGAAUCUGAUUCUUUUUUCUGGUAGGUGCAAAAAUAGUAUGAUAUCCCUACUGAUAUGUAUGAAUAUACAGAUGAAACACGUAUUUACAUGUCUAGUUUUUCCAGAUUUGUCACACUCGAUGGAAACUGGAAGCAUCACUCUCCUUGGUUGAAAUCACAGUGGUCAGAUUAUAGAUCACAAGCUGUAGACGAAUUGUUUCUUCUGAUUUUCCAAUCUUCAGGUUAUGGGUCAUUUCCCCUUUGCAAGAAUUAAUUUAUGUGGCUCCAUUUUUGUUCAUUCCAAGGUCAAGGGGAAAGAAAAUUUUCAAAGGCA